rnacentral:piRNA from 1 species
AGAAGGCAAAGGACUGACUGAAA